rnacentral:lncRNA from 1 species
CUCGUGUUUUCUUUUCAUUUUCUUCUUAGACUUCUCCCCAGAUCUCUCUUCUGCGUCUUCAUUCUUCCUCUUCUUCCUUUGCUCCGUCUUUUCCUCUCCAGCAUGUAAUUUAUUCUCACUCCCAGCUUCAUGCUUCUUUUUCGACCUAAUUUCUACAUCCUGAGAACCAACUAGCCCUCCACUUUCACUCUUCACACCAUUGCUUAGUUUUUUCUCCACCUCUUUAUGUUGUUCUUGUCCCUUCACAUUUCCAACUUCUAAACUCUUCUCCUUUUUACUCCCCGCUUCAUUUCUCCUUUUCGACCUAAUUUCUAACUCCUGAGGAGGAACUAUCCCUCCACUUUCAACCUUCACAUUCUCACCUUCUACACUCUUUUCCUUCUUCUUGUUCUUUUUCUCGCUCUUUUGCUUCUUUCCCUCCGUUCUUCCUUCAUCACCCUGAUUUAACUCACUUCCAUUCUUCUUUACGCUCUCUCCAAAUUCAAGUUUCUUCUUUCCAUCUUUCUUAUCACGCUUCUCACUUCUACCCACGACAGAACCAACAACUUCUC